GAUGAAGAACGCAGCGAAAUGCGAUAAGUAGUGUGAAUUGCAGAAUUCAGUGAAUCAUCGAAUCUUUGAACGCACAUUGCGCCCCUUGGUAUUCCAUGGGGCAUGCCUGUCCGAGCGUCAUUACAACCCUCAAGCUCAGCUUGGUGUUGGGCCCCGCCGCCCCGGCGGGCCCUAAAGUCAGUGGCGGUGCCGUCCGGCUCCGAGCGUAGUAAUUCUUCUCGCUCUGGAGGUCCGGUCGUGUGCUCGCCAGCAACCCCCAAUUUUUUUCAGGUUGACCUCGGAUCAGGUAGGGAUACCCGCUGAACUUAAGCAUAUCAAUAAGCGGAGGA
rnacentral:misc_RNA from 1 species